rnacentral:rRNA from 1 species
GACGAACGCUGGCGGCGUGCCUAAUACAUGCCAGUUGAGCGCUGAAGGUUGGUACUUGUACCGACUGGAUGAGCAGCGAACGGGUGAGUAACGCGUGGGGAAUCUGCCUUUGAGCGGGGGACAACAUUUGGAAACGAAUGCUAAUACCGCAUAAAAACUUUAAUCACAAGUUUUAAGUUUGAAAGAUGCAAUUGCAUCACUCAAAGAUGAUCCCGCGUUGUAUUAGCUAGUUGGUGAGGUAAAGGCUCACCAAGGCGAUGAUACAUAGCCGACCUGAGAGGGUGAUCGGCCACAUUGGGACUGAGACACGGCCCAAACUCCUACGGGAGGCAGCAGUAGGGAAUCUUCGGCAAUGGACGAAAGUCUGACCGAGCAACGCCGCGUGAGUGAAGAAGGGUUUCGGAUCGUAAAACUCUGUUGGUAGAGAAGAACGUUGGUGAGAGUGGAAAGCUCAUCAAGUGACGGUAACUACCCAGAAAGGGACGGCUAACUACGUG